rnacentral:rRNA from 1 species
UACGAAGGGGGGCUAGCGUUGCUCGGAAUCACUGGGCGUAAAGCGCACGUAGGCGGCUUCUUAAGUCAGGGGUGAAAUCCUGGAGCUCAACUCCAGAACUGCCUUUGAUACUGGGAGGCUCGAGUCCGGGAGAGGUGAGUGGAACUGCGAGUGUAGAGGUGAAAUUCGUAGAUAUUCGCAAGAACACCAGUGGCGAAGGCGGCUCACUGGCCCGGUACUGACGCUGAGGUGCGAAAGCGUGGGGGAGCAAACAGG